GGAUUAGAUACCCGGGUAGUCCGCACGGUAAACGAUGGAUGCCCGCUGUCGGCGCCUUGCGCCGGCGGCCAAGCGAAAGCGUUAAGCAUCCCACCUGGGGAGUACGCCGGCAACGGUGAAACUCAAAGGAAUUGACGGGGGCCCGCACAAGCGGAGGAACAUGUGGUUUAAUUCGAUGAUACGCGAGGAACCUUACCCGGGCUUGAAUCGCAGGAGAACGAAACAGAGAUGUUGAGGUCCUUCGGGACUCCUGCGAAGGUGCUGCAUGGUUGUCGUCAGCUCGUGCCGUGAGGUGUCGGCUUAAGUGCCAUAACGAGCGCAACCCCUCUCCCCAGUUGCCAUCGGGUGAUGCCGGGCACUCCGGGGACACUGCCGCCGCAAGGUGCGAGGAAGG
rnacentral:rRNA from 1 species